GUGAGGGGAGAACAUUUUUUUCCCAAAUCAGAAAAAAAAAAUCUUUGAAGAACGCUCAACCUUCGUAGGUGUUUUUCGACUCUUCCAAACUUUGCAGAAACGGAUCCAAUUCAUUAACAUAUUAUAGCUUCACACGAGAAGAAACGGUGUGACGAGAGAGAUGGAAGAGCUGAAAGGCGAAACAACAUACAAUGGGUUUGUAUAGCAGCAUUGCAGUGACUCCGUGUGAAACCUGUCAUUAAGGUUUGUGCUUUAGGAGGUCUGAGGAGAUUGCAAGUGUAGCAGACUUCUGCGCAGUGGCGGCCCUGAGGGGAAGCAUUACAAGCACCCGCUUCCAGCCCACAAAAAAUAUUUGCAUAAAGUGGCCAAUUUUAAAAAAUAAUUAUCUACAAAAUUUAUAAAAGUGGCCAAUUUUUUUAAAAUUGCUUGUAGUCUUUUUCAUUUCAGGACCGGUACUGCUUCUGCGACAGGUAGUACAUCUCUUUGAAUUAGUUGAGUCUCACGUAGAGAUAUAUUUUUGAAGGUAUGUGAAACUUCUGUAGUUUAUAUGUCUGAGAAACUUUUUAUUUGUGUUAUCCACUAACCCUUCGUGAUCAUAUGUGAUCACGUUCCUGUAAUUUUAUAAUUUAAUUUUGGUCGUUGUAUGAGUA